rnacentral:rRNA from 1 species
CGUAGGUGGCAAGCGUUGUCCGGAUUUAUUGGGUUUAAAGGGUGCGUAGGCGGCCCUGUAAAGUCAGUGGUGAAAUAUCUCAGCUUAACUGAGAGGGUGCCAUUGAUACUGCGGGGCUUGAGUACAGAUGAGGUAGGCGGAAUUGACGGUGUAGCGGUGAAAUGCAUAGAUAUCGUCAAGAACUCCGAUAGCGAAGGCAGCUUACUAAGCUGUAACUGACGCUGAGGCACGAAAGUGUGGGGAUCAAACAGGAUUAGAUACCCUGGUAGUCCACACUGUAAACGUUGAUGACUCGAUGUUGGCGAUACACAGCCAGCGUCCAAGAGCAAUCGUUAAGUCAUCCACCUGGGGAGUACGCCGGCAACGGUG